AACGAACGCUGGCGGCAUGCCUAACACAUGCAAGUCGAACGAGAUCUUCGGGUCUAGUGGCGCACGGGUGCGUAACGCGUGGGAAUCUGCCCUUUGGCUCGGAAUAACAGUUGGAAACGACUGCUAAUACCGGAUGGUGACGAAAGACCAAAGAUUUAUCGCCAGAGGAUGAGCCCGCGUAGGAUUAGCUAGUCGGUGUGGUAAAGGCGCACCAAGGCGACGAUCCUUAGCUGGUCUGAGAGGAUGAUCAGCCACACUGGGACUGAGACACGGCCCAGACUCCUACGGGAGGCAGCAGUGGGGAAUAUUGGACAAUGGGCGAAAGCCUGAUCCAGCAAUGCCGCGUGAGUGAUGAAGGCCUUAGGGUUGUAAAGCUCUUUUACCCGGGAUGAUAAUGACAGUACCGGGAGAAUAAGCUCCGGCUAACUCCGUGCCAGCAGCCGCGGUAA
rnacentral:rRNA from 1 species